rnacentral:lncRNA from 1 species
GAAUUGAUAGCAAGGUCAAAUGAAUUUAAGUGAAUAUACAAAAUAAGUAGAUGGAGAAAAAAUACAGGUUUCCAUUAGUUCUUUUAGACGUGGUCACGCUUGUUUUCAUGUUUCAACAUCUCUUUUAUUCAUGCUAUGGUUUAGACAAUAUGAAGAGUAGAAGUUGUCAAGAUGUGGUAUUCAUUAUAUAUAUUGAAGCAUGG